rnacentral:rRNA from 1 species
CCUACGGGGGGCAGCAGUGAGGAAUAUUAGUAAAUGGACGAGAGUCUGAACCAGCCAAGUAGCGUGAAGGAUGACUGCCCUAUGGGUUGUAAACUUCUUUUAUAUGGGAAUAAAAUGUUCCACGUGUGGGAGUUUGUAUGAACCAUAUGAAUAAGGAUCGGCUAACUCCGUGCCAGCAGCCGCGGUAAUACGGAGGAUCCGAGCGUUAUCCGGAUUUAUUGGGUGUAAAGGGAGCGUAGGUGGAUUGUUAAGUUAGUUGUGAAAGUUUGCGGCUCAACCGUAAAAUUGCAGUUGAAACUGGCAGUCUUGAGUACAGUAGAGGUAGGCGGAAUUCGUGGUGUAGCGGUGAAAUGCUUAGAUAUCACGAAGAACUCCGAUUGCGAAGGCAGCUCACUGGACUGCAACUGACACUGAGGCUCGAAAGUGUGGGUAUCAAACAGGAUUAGAUACCCGAGUAGUC